rnacentral:rRNA from 1 species
GAUGAACGCUGGCGGCGUGCCUAAUACAUGCAAGUCGAGCGAACAGAUGAGGAGCUUGCUCCUCUGACGUUAGCGGCGGACGGGUGAGUAACACGUGGAUAACCUACCUAUAAGACUGGGAUAACUUCGGGAAACCGGAGCUAAUACCGGAUAAUAUAUUGAACCGCAUGGUUCAAUAGUGAAAGACGGUUUUGCUGUCACUUAUAGAUGGAUCCGCGCCGCAUUAGCUAGUUGGUAAGGUAACGGCUUACCAAGGCAACGAUGCGUAGCCGACCUGAGAGGGUGAUCGGCCACACUGGAACUGAGACGCGGUCCAGACUCCUACGGGAGGCAGCAGUAGGGAAUCUUCCGCAAUGGGCGAAAGCCUGACGGAGCAACGCCGCGUGAGUGAUGAAGGUCUUCGGAUCGUAAAACUCUGUUAUUAGGGAAGAACAAAUGUGUAAGUAACUAUGCACGUCUUGACGGUACCUAAUCAGAAAGCCACGGCUAACUACGU